GCUCUGGGUGUAUGCUCGGUGGCUCCUCUGCCUCUGAUUUCUAGGACUUGAAGAGAAAUGACGGUCCCUGGCUGCUGCAUUUAAUUGGACAGGAGCACAGAGACUGAGACUGUAAUUAUGACGUCUUAAAUGUCAAACUCUUCAAAAGUCUGCUGUGCCCUCGCUGUCACCCUGAACAGCUCUGGGAACCAAAGCCUCGUACCCCCUCCCCUGCCCCUGAGCUCGUCCUGGGUCUCAGCCAGGCUUCACCUGGGAAAUCUGAGUGACAGCGACGCGCAGGCGGCUGGAAGACGCACAGUGAGCCAGGAGCCUGUGAUGAGCUCAGAAGAGGGUCUCACUAUAUGGUUCAGGCUGACCUUGAACUCACUGUGUAGCCCAGGUUGGCCUCAAACUCGUAACAAUCCUCCUGCCUUAGCCUCCCAAGUGCUGGGAUUACAGGCAUCCGCCACCACGGCAGGCUGGGAUCCGGUUUUCUUACCAGUAAAAUGGGGAUAAUAACAGAAGCUGCCUCACCAGGUCCGGGUGAAGAGUAAUAGAUGUAACAUGCAAGGUAGAAAUGUCUGGCACGUGGAGAGCUCGACAACAGGUCUCAGUAGAGGCCCCCUGGAUGUCACACCCGGGCACACAGUGAGGUGCCGUGAUGUGUCCUGAUACAACUGCCUCUGCUCCACCACGGUGAUCGCGCUGGGAGGCGGGAGAGAUCUGCAGCUACUGGGGUGGGGAGAACGAUUUGGAACGUGGUCUUCGUGAUGCUCCCCCAGGUUGACUGACGAAGAGGAGGAUGAAGCGUUGGGAGCCAUCCCGUCGGCAGAGUGCAUCUGGCCGGUCACAUAAGUCAGGAAGACUCGAUUCAGCCGACAAAUAUUCUGUGCACCUCCCUGGAAGUGCACUGUUGUGCAAGAAGUGGUUUGGCAGGGAUUCUCUCCUUUCAGCUGCAGGCCAUGGAGGGCAGGAGGCCUCUGCUUGCCAAGGAGGAGAGGCCAUAGGACGAAGGCUCCGUCUGGCCUGAGCUUCUGCAGAGUGUGCCCGAAUCCGGCUGCAGGGGCAGUUGGGGGGGGGGGGGCGCGAGCACAAACCUCUUCCCUCAGGGCAGGCAAGGUGCUGAGCUCCUGUCACAGUCCUGCCACAGCCACCUCUGGUGCUCAUGGCUGGUUUGGAGCAAUAUGCCAAGAUGUCGUUUUGUCUAUUUGGUUUGCUUUUUCCUUUAAAAUUUAUAAAAUGUGAUGGUAACAUGUAGCCAAGCUUGGUGGCGCAUGACUGUAAUACAAAUGCCCCCCCUGCUCUCUCCCUCAUGCCAGGGAUUGCACCCAGGGCCUUGUGCAUGCUGAGCAUGUACUCUGCCCCUGAGCUACAUCCCCAUGUCAUGUUUUGUUUGUUUGAGACAAGGACUCACUAUGUAGUUCAGGCUGGCCUCGAACUCAGAGUGAUCCUCCUGCCUCAGCCUCCCGAGUACUCGGAUUACAAACUUGUGCCACCACGCCUAGCUCCCAUGUCAAAUGUUUACAACUGAAGUUCUAUCUUUAGAAAAUUGAGAAGUGGUCUAGUCUAAGGCAAUGAAAGGCAGAGGUAACCCGGACUGGUAAACUAUUCAGGACACCCACUACAUUUCGCCAUCUCCCAUGAGUUCUCUAACUUGGACUUGGCUCCCUGCCUCCAUGCCUCCCAAGCUCCCCCCAGGCCCCAUCCCUGCAGCCCUGCUUGGACCCGCUGACCCCAUCCCUUCUUCCAGGCCCUGGUGAUGGCCCCAGGCUGAAACCUAGGCCAGCAGAGCCAGCUCAUCCCCAAGGUGAAGCCAAGCAAGUGCUUGAGGCUUUGGCUGCCUGCUUCCUGAGGGAGCUCAGGGUUGUGAGUCAGGCUGACUCAGGCUGAUGGUCAUGAGAGGCCUUGUGAGCUGGUCACGGGCCUUGUGAGAAGGGGAACCAAUGAGAAAACCCUGUGGUCCAGAGAGAAAGACAGCUGUCCAGUGAGCCCCUAGGGGACCUCCUGCACCUGGAGUCCCACUCUUGUCCCAGCCGGCAUGGGUGGCUGUCUACCGAGAACAGCCACAGCCCAGUGACCUGGGGGCUGGGGGGUGCGGCUGCCCCGUCCCCAGGCACAGGAGUUUCCCACAUCCCGGGAGGCAGGCAGGGAGCAAGGUGGUCUGUUCCAGAGCAGAGAGCAAAUGCCUGACUUGCGCCACUCCCUGGGACAGUGGUUACCCUUGAACAGCUUUUCUCGGUAGAGUACUUGCCUAGCACCGGCAAGGCCCUAGGCUUGACCUCCAGCACUACAAAAAGAAAAAAAGAAAAAAUAUAUCUAGGGGUAGGGCAAGGAGGGAAAAGAAGAUAGAAAAGAAGGAAAUGUUUCUUCCUGGCUCACCUCCCAAGGCCCUGAGGGACGGCCCGUGAGAGCCCGAGUCA